rnacentral:lncRNA from 1 species
GUUGGACGUUUGCAAGCAGGUCACUUGAUAAUUGAUACUUGUCCCAAAGGAAUUAGCAACGAUUUAGUAUUUCAUGUGACCCUCUUUGGGGUUCGUGAUUUAGGAGAAAGAUUUAAGAAAAACCAAAGCUCUGAAACAAGCAAAACCUGGGAAACCCAAGAUAAAGUUUCAGAGAUGAUAUCCCAUGCAACAGAGGCAGCGGUGCCAAAAAAUUAGAAAGGGAAAGUGUCUAAGAUCAGCUUCUACAAGGACAUCUGCCAAUUGGACAGAAGCCCAAGCAGAAUGAAGUCAAAUUAGGCCAGAGUGAACUCUCGCAGCGGCAGGGCUUCCGUGCUCUGUGUCGAAAUCAGGCCCAAGGAAGGGUUCGAUGGGUAUGUCUGUACAGCCAGGGAACCCACCACUCCUCACUAUUUUACUAGAAGUCUUUUAGGUCAAUUUGUAGGACUCUGUGUCCCCUCUGAUCGCUCUGAUUGGCGAGGCCUAGUUCUAAUCUUCUCUAGCCUUGCCUUGGAAUUGGCUGAAAAAAACCGUGUGCUCCUCAAGGAACAGACAGUUAUAAUCAGAUUCUCCCCAAGAAUUAACUUGUGAUGACCAUGAAUGUAAUUACAUUUUGAUCGUGCAGAUCAUGUUUUUAAAUUAAUACCAGUUAUCUAUCACUCCUUCCACUUUAAAAAUCUUUCCAUUCCUUUUCAUGCCUAUCCCUGUUGCUCUUGCAUAGGUAAGAGUCGUUAGUAUUAGAACCAACCUAGGAGGGCAGGGUGAUCUCUGUCCUCCAGCCACCCUUCACCCUCACUUGGCAUGGAGGUGGGGGGGACAGACAGCACUGUCUUAACAUCUUCAUGAUAAUAACCCUUGUUUUCUCAUCUCCAAAUACUCUAGAGGAGAGUGUGUGGUUAUUGCAUAAGAAUUUCCACCCAUAUUGACAAUUCAAUCCAUUCUAUUGAUUUUUCUGCUUCAUUGGUUCUGAUUUUCUUUGUUAAAAUGGUUUUCAGUGGUAUCAACUCAAAUGUGUUCUCUUGCAUGUUUUAUAUGUAUAUAAACUACAUAUACACAAACGUAAAUAAAUACACAUAUAAUAUGUAUAAAAACAUACAAAGAUAUGUGAUAUAACAUCUGUAUACAUGAUGGUAUUUUCAGCUUCAGUUUAGUUUCAAAGAUUUUGUAAUAGUUGAGGACUCUGACCUUGGCAGCUCAUUUGAGAGACAGAAUAUUAUUACAUACAUUCUA